rnacentral:rRNA from 1 species
GAUCAUGGCUCAGGAUGAACGCUGGCGGCGUGCCUAACACAUGCAAGUCGAACGGAGUUUACAUGAAACCUAGUGAUUGUAAACUUAGUGGCGGACGGGUGAGUAACGCGUGGGCAACCUGCCCUGUACUGGGGGAUAACACUUAGAAAUAGGUGCUAAUACCGCAUAAGCGCACAGUGCCGCAUGGCACAGUGUGAAAAACUCCGGUGGUACAGGAUGGACCCGCGUCUGAUUAGA